UCUAAUGACUUCUAACAAAUUACACUGGUACACUUUUAGUACUUGUACUUAUCUAAAACACGAUUGGAAAUUUCACUAUAGCCAAAACUGAUUCUUUCUCUCAAAAACCGUCCGUGUAUCUGCAGGAUAAGAUAAACGAUAUAGUUAAACAAUUUAUCAAGACGAGUCUCAAUACUGUUUAUAAAUGCGUUUCACUCUAACCUAACCUGUAACCUAGUUUGAUUUUAUCGAUAUAUUAUAUUGUCCGGUAUUUUUUUUUUUUGAAUAACACAAUAAACACAUCCGCAGUGAAAACUGAUUUAUAUACCUGUAAAUAUAAAGAAAAAAAUAAUAGCGAUAAAUUAGAUACUAAUCGCAAUCUUGUAAAUAAAAAACAAAUGAUAAUAAUAAUAAUAAAAACCCGUAUUUACAAUGAUCUAACAUGCGCAAAUGUCAAAAGAAAACUUUUAAAUUGAAAACUUUUUUUCACAAAAAUGUCUAUAGCAGAGUAUGCACGACAUAAUAUAGAUAGAUAUAUAUGGGUAUUUUUUUUUUCAUUCUGAUGCAAUAGCGGUUUGACGUUAUUUUUCAAUAUUAACAACUGCGGUCUUCGGCUGCUAAGAAAUUGCAUUUGUCUUGGAGAAAUAAUACGAACCCAACCGAGUGUUAAUUGUUUUGAAUUUGACAUCGGAAUAACUUGUAAAUUAUAUAUAUAUAUAUAGCAUUUCCGUGCUUUUUCAUAAACCUCACUCGACGAGCUAUAAGUUCUACGGACAUGUUAUUCGCGUAACCGAGUUUGGAAAUGAAAUUUCAAAAAUCACAUCCCAACGUGUACAAUACAAAAUACACGCGGUUAAGAACUUCGUCGGCAUCGAGGAUUAUGCGAAUACGCGGACGUGGCGUAUACACAAUUAUUUUUACGUUAAAUCCACCGUUAAAAAUAAUAUCGUAGAGACCUGACAUUUUACCGAAUUUUUAUCUAGGCAUGGUAAACAAUCAAAAUAUGUUUGCGAUUUCUAAGUUAUUUAUGCAAGAGCGUUUGAAAUGUUUUAGGUUUUUUUUUUUUUUUUUGGUUUUAUGUAGGUAGAUUAAAUUUGUCGAUUCGGCUAAAAUGUUUGAAAAUAUCACGUGAGGUUUGUCAUCACAAGUUGAACUUAGGGGUAAAUUAAACAAAUUUAGCGUAAUACAGUAGGUACCAAGUCUUUUUUUUAUAAGCUUUUUUAUAAGUUCAAAUUUGAAUGAAAAUCAUAGUAAUCGCGAAAUUUCAAAACAUUUCAAUCGAACUUCAGAAUAAU